GACGAACGCUGGCGGCGUGCCUAACACAUGCAAGUCGAACGGAAAGGCCCUGCUUCUGUGGGGUGCUCGAGUGGCGAACGGGUGAGUAACACGUGAGUAACCUGCCCCUGACUUUGGGAUAACUUCAGGAAACUGGGGCUAAUACCGGAUAGGAGCUCCUGCAGCAUGGUGGGGGUUGGAAAGUUUCGGCGGUUGGGGAUGGACUCGCGGCUCAUCAGCUUGAUGGUGUGGUAGUGGCUUACCAAGGGCGUGACCGAUAGCCGGCCUGUGAGGGUGGCCGCACACACUGAGACUAAGAUACGGGCCAGAGUCCCACAGGAGACAGCAGUCGGUAAUAUGGCACAAUAGGCGGAAGCCUGUUAAAACCCCGCCUCGUGCGGAAUGACCGGCUUCGGGUUGUAAACGGCAUUCGCGUGUGACGAAGGGUGAGUGACGGUAAUGGGUAAAGAAGCACCGGCUAACUACGUG
rnacentral:rRNA from 1 species